CUCCAAUCAACUCAGGGGAAUUGUGAUGUUCAGCUAAAAUGAACUGGGAAAAGAGAAAUGACAGCAAGUACCAAAGUCCCCAUCGCUAGGUACAACUUCCUGUCUGAUGAGGCUGAAGAGCAGUUUGACACACACCAACUGAGUCAUGAUGCCCGCAAAGACGCUUACCCACUCCUCUAUUUGGCCUUGACCACGGUCGGGGAAGGAGAAGGGAAGAUUGAACAAACCUCAGUGCGCAUCACUGGGACAACGCUCAAUACAAGGCAGUGCUGAACUCAAUGAAUUUAAGGAGCCAAAAUGAUGUCUCCGGAGGCAGCAGAUGCUCUGUGUAGACACAACAUGCCAA